rnacentral:rRNA from 1 species
AACGAACGCUGGCGGCAGGCUUAACACAUGCAAGUCGAGCGCCUCGCAAGAGGAGCGGCAGACGGGUGAGUAACGCGUGGGAAUCUACCGUGCCCUACGGAAUAGCUCCGGGAAACUGGAAUUAAUACCGUAUACGCCCUUCGGGGGAAAGAUUUAUCGGGGUAUGAUGAGCCCGCGUUGGAUUAGCUAGUUGGUGGGGUAAAGGCCUACCAAGGCGACGAUCCAUACCUGGUCUGAGAGGAUGAUCAGCCACAUUGGGACUGAGACACGGCCCGAACUCCUACGGGAGGCAGCAGUGAGGAAUAUUGGACAAUGGGCGCAAGCCUGAUCCAGCCAUGCCGCGUGAGUGAUGAAGGCCCUAGGGUUGUAAAGCUCUUUCACCGGUGAAGAUAAUGACGGUAACCGGAGAAGAAGCCCCGGCUAACUUCGUGCCAGCCGCCGCCGUAA